rnacentral:rRNA from 1 species
AUUGAACGCUGGCGGCAGGCUUAACACAUGCAAGUCGAGCGGGGGAAGGUAGCUUGCUACUGGACCUAGCGGCGGACGGGUGAGUAAUGCUUAGGAAUCUGCCUAUUAGUGGGGGACAACAUCUCGAAAGGGAUGCUAAUACCGCAUACGUCCUACGGGAGAAAGCAGGGGAUCUUCGGACGUGGCGCUAAUAGAUGAGCCUAAGUCGGAUUAGCUAGUUGGUGGGUAAAGGCCUACCAAGGCGACGAUCUGUAGCGGGUCUGAGAGGAUGAUCCGCCACACUGGGACUGAGACACGGCCCAGACUCCUACGGGAGGCAGCAGUGGGGAAUAUUGGACAAUGGGGGGAACCCUGAUCCAGCCAUGCCGCGUGUGUGAAGAAGGCCUUAUGGUUGUAAAGCACUUUAAGCGAGGAGGAGGCUACUUUAGUUAAUACCUAGAGAUAGUGGACGUUACUCGCAGAAUAAGCACCGGCUAACUCUGUGCCAGCCGCCGCGGUAA